ACAAAAAAGGAAACGACCAGAUCAUAACAAAGUACUCUGUCCAAAAACAAAAUACAGAAAUGAAAAACCAAAGAAAGGAAAAAAGAUUGGUGGUCUUCAAGCUUGAGCUUCCAUGGAGAAAGAAAACAAGGUGUUGCCUUGGAGUGAAAUCGAGUCAUCACCUGCUGCAACCAGCUGUUUUCGGUUCGUUUCCAUCACACUGAAUCCACACAGAUCAAACAACUUAUGAGAAUGGUACUACUUUUGUACCACUGAGUAAAUCAAACUUAAAGGUUGACAAUGGCGGAACUGAUAUGCCGGAUCUCUGAAUCACAGUCCAGUUCAUCUCGUCUCCUCUCUGAAAGUCCUUGAGAAUACUCGAAUUGGAUUGAAGUUAGAUUCGUAUUUUUGUACUGAGAAACACAUUUGUCGAAUUAAUAUCUGUUUCGUUGUAAUGGAACUAUUCAUUCAUACAAGUAAACUCAAAACAGAGUCUUGCUAUUGAUUCUGUUAAAAUUUUA